rnacentral:lncRNA from 1 species
UUCUCAUUCGACCUUUACUUCACAAAAACCUUAGCAAAGCAACUUGGCAGCAAUCUCUUGCAAGUUGCGAUUUCACUCCCAAGAAUCCAAAGCUUCAAAUUUCAAGUUGUAUUAGAUGAAAGAAGAAGAUGUAAGUUUAAAUUUUAUGAUUUUCUUUGUAAAUUUCAAAUUUUUUGUCCUCAAUUUUUUGCUACAAACUGUUUUUUUAAUGGGAAUCGAUUAGCUUGUCUGAGAUUAGAUGUUAUCGUAUGGGUGAAUGUGGAUUAGAUGUAUUGCUUAAAGUAUGCAAUUUUGCGCGCAUAUGUUUGCAAAUUGCAAUUGUGUGAAAACACGAAUUGAAUUGUGGUAUUGUGUGCCAAAUUACAAAUUGCAAUUGUGUGCCAAUUUUUUAUUUUUUUUAGAAGCUUUCUCAUGUGGGCUUGUUUUAUGUUCUUGUUGAUGAAUUUAAGUAUGUGAUUAACGUGAAGGAUUCUUGAUUUUGUGUUUGGGAUGUUUUGAUAAUGUGAUUCAAGUAGUAUCAGUAAGAAAUGUCCUUCCGAACA